AUUGGGCCUAAAACGUCCGUAGCCGGCUGAGUAAAUGCCUGGGUAAAUCGUGUCGCUCAACGAUACGAAUUCCGGGUAGACUGCUUAGCUUGAGACUGGGAGAAGCUAGAGGUACUCCUGGGGUAGAGGUGAAAUUCUGUAAUCCUGGGGGGACCACCAGUGGCGAAAGCGUCUAGCUAGAACGGGUCUGACGGUGAGGGACGAAACCCUGGGGCGCGAACCGGAUUAGAUACCCGGGUAGUCCAGGGCGCAAACGCUGCUUGCUUGAUGUUAGCUGGGCUCCGAGCUCGGCUAGUGUCGGAGAGAAGUUGUUAAGCAAGCUGCCUGGGAAGUACGAUCGCAAGAUUGAAACUUAAAGGAAUUGGCGGGGGAGCACAGCAACGGGAGGAGCGUGCGGUUUAAUUGGAUUCAACGCCGGAAAACUCACCGGAGGCGACGGUUACGUGAAGGCCAGGCUGAUGACCUUGCCUGAUUUUCCGAGAGGUGGUGCAUGGCCGCCGUCAGUUCGUACCGUAAGGCGUUCUGUUAAGUCAGAUAACGAACGAGACCCUCAUCCUUAAUUGCUACUGAUAACUCUGGUUGUCAGGCACAUUAAGGAGACCGCUGACGAUAAGUCAGAGGAAGGCGAGGGCAACGGUAGGUCAGUAUGCCCUGAAUCCUCCGGGCUACACGCGCGCUACAAAGGCCAGGACAAUGGGUUUCGACACCGAAAGGUGAAGGUAAUCCCGAAACCUGGUCAUAGUUCGGAUUGAGGGCUGAAACUCGCCCUCAUGAAGCUGGAUUCCGUAGUAAUCGCGGAUCA
rnacentral:rRNA from 1 species